GGGCGAAAGCCUGAUCCANCCAUUCCGCGUGAGUGAAGAAGGCCUUCGGGUUGUAAAGCUCUUUCGCAAGGGAAGAACACUUACUUUCUAAUAAAGAGUGAGGUUGACGGUACCUUGAUAAGAAGCACCGGCUAACUACGUGCCAGCAGCCGCGGUAAUACGUAGGGUGCGAGCGUUAAUCGGAAUUACUGGGCGUAAAGCGUGCGCAGGCGGUUUUGUAAGUCAGAUGUGAAAUCCCCGAGCUCAACUUGGGAACUGCGUUUGAAACUACAAGACUAGAAUAUGUCAGAGGGGGGUAGAAUUCCACGUGUAGCAGUGAAAUGCGUAGAGAUGUGGAGGAAUACCAAUGGCGAAGGCAGCCCCCUGGNAAAAUAUUGACGCUCAUGCACGAAAGCGUGGGGAGCAAACAGGAUUAGAUACCCUGGUAGUCCACGCCCUAAACGAUGUCUACUAGUUGUUGGUGGAGUAAAAUCCAUGAGUNACG
rnacentral:rRNA from 1 species